UGUCAUUGGGCCCUUUGUGGAUGGAGAAAGGCAAAGUGCACAGGAAGCUCAAAAAUAUAUGCAGGAAAAUCAUACAGAGAGGUGAUGUAAAGACAACCAAAAUGUUCAUGUGAAAAGAUGAAGAAGACAGCAGAUCACCACAGGCAUCUGAGCAUUAGUUAGGUAAACCUAGAUUUUGGUGCAUUAUGACCUUCAAAGUAGUUCAGUGAGAAAAAAAUCAGCUAAAACAUUCUUUUGUAUACAGUGGCAGUACUGCUUCCCAAGAAUUCAGUGGGAAGACACACUGCUUUUAUUUUAAGCAAGUAGUCCAAUAUAGCUGGUAAAAAUGCAGUUUCAGGAAGAAGUGAACUAGAUUUCACACAUAAUACAGAUUGUUCUGACUUGUGUGCCCAGUGGUCUCCCAGUGGUUAAAAAUGCGUGUUAUGAAGAGCAACAAGCUUACUCUAUUCCUCCUUCUGAGAGCAGGGAGCAGCUGAUGUGAUUAAGCAGGUGAGUGAUAGAGCCACUCUUGACUAAUCUGAAGAAGAUCUGUGAGAAGAGGUAAAAUUGUGGAACUCUGAACUAGAAAAUAUAAUGGGCCCUGGAAACAAUCCUGCAUGAACAUGCUGGCUGGGAAUUAGAAGAAACAUCACAGGCUCAUCUUUCUGGAAAAAGAACUGCAAGCUCAUCCUCUACAACGUCCCUGAUGAAAGUGAAAAUCAAGUCUCUGGUGUUGUGGAGCUCUGCUACAGUAAUACAUUCCAAGAAUGAGCUACAAUGGAGUCUCAGACACAAGGAAAUGCAACAGGGAGAUUGA
rnacentral:lncRNA from 1 species